CUGGGGGCUCCUUGCUCGGGAAACAGUGCUGCACCAGGAAUUAUACCCGUGUGCUGUCUGGUCCUAAUGAAGUUUCUUGGUUGCUUGGUUUUGAUUUUUGGGCCACUCCCAGAGGUGCUCAGAACUUCCUAUUGGCUCUGUGUUCAGGGCUUACCUGUGGAGAGGGAACAUAAAAUAUGAAUUGACUUUCUUUAAGUAUUACCUUACUAUAAGACAGUACAACCUCUGUUCAUAGUAAAAGAGAGUCACACUAGACAUCCACCCAUAAUACGAUAUUACUG